rnacentral:tRNA from 1 species
GGUCUUGUAGCUCAGCUGGUAGAGCAUGCACGUAUAAAGCGUAGGGCUUGGGUUCCAAUCCCACCGAGGCUA